CCCCCCAAUAUCCUGAUGGUACAUCCUGCUCGGGAAGACAUUAAAAUCUGCGAUUUUGGCUUUGCCCAAAACAUCACCCCAGGAGAGCCACAGUACAGCAAGUAUGGCUCCCCAGAAUUUGUGUCUCCCGAGAUCAUCGAGCAGACCCCAGUGAGCGAGGCCUCCGACAUCUGGUGAGUGAGUGGGUGCCUGGGGAGGCCAGCUUCCAUGCCAGCAGCCCCCCAGCACACACACCCCACAACCUCGAGCACACCCUGUGACUGUGGUUUUGUUCCUGCAGGUCCAUGGGCGUCAUCUCCUACCUCAGCCUGACCUGCUCAUCACCAUUCGCUGGUGAGAGUGACCGAGCCACACUCCUGAACGUGCUGGAGGGGCGGGUGUCCUGGAACAGCCCCAUGACUGCCCACCUCAGCAAGGAUGCCCAGGACUUCAUCAAGGCUACCCUGCAAAGGGCCCCAAAGUGAGUGCACAGCACCCUCCACCUGUUGCCUCAUCUGGGGUUCUCUUAGGCGGAGGCCUGGGGCAGCUGGCCACCUGGCCUGAUCCCCGGCCCUCCUCUCUCACUAGGGCCCGGCCCAGCGCAGCCAAAUGCCUCACACACCCCUGGUUCCAGACUUCCGUGCCCGCGGAGGAGGCCCACUUCAUCAACACCAAGCAACUCAAGUUUCUGCUGGCCCGCAGCCGCUGGCAGCGCUCCCUGAUGAGCUACAAGUCCAUCCUGGUGAUGCGCUCCAUCCCCGAGCUGCUCCGGGGCCCGCCCGACAGCCCGUCCCUCGGGGUGGCGCGGCACCUGCGCGGUGGCGCCAGCGCCUCCUCCAGCAGCUCGUCCUCCUCCUCCGACAACGAGCUGGCCCCUUUCGCCCGGGCCAAGUCGCUGCCGCCGUCUCCGGUGACCCACUCGCCGCUGCUGCACCCGCGGGGC
rnacentral:lncRNA from 1 species